rnacentral:rRNA from 1 species
UACGGGGGGGGCAAGCGUUGUUCGGAAUUACUGGGCGUAAAGGGCGCGUAGGCGGUUUCGGAAGUCAUGGGUGAAAGCCCCGGGCUCAACUCGGGAAUGGCCUGUGAAACCACGGGACUGGAGUGCUGGAGAGGGAAGUGGAAUUCCCAGUGUAGCGGUGAAAUGCGUAGAUAUUGGGAGGAACACCGGAGGCGAAGGCGGCUUCCUGGACAGACACUGACGCUGAGGCGCGAAAGCCAGGGGAG